UACGGGAGGCAGCAGUGGGGAAUAUUGCACAAUGGGCGCAAGCCUGAUGCAGCCAUGCCGCGUGUAUGAAAAAGGCCUUCGGGUUGUAAAGUACUUUCAGUCGUGAGGAAGGUGUUAAGGUUAAUAACCUUAGCAAUUGACGUUAGCGACAGAAGAAGCACCGGCUAACUCCGUGCCAGCAGCCGCGGUAAUACGGAGGGUGCGAGCGUUAAUCGGAAUUACUGGGCGUAAAGGGCACGCAGGCGGUUAAUUAAGUUGGAUGUGAAAUCCCCGGGCUUAACCUGGGAAUGGCAUUCAAGACUGGUUAGCUAGAGUCUUGUAGAGGGGGUAGAAUUCCAUGUGUAGCGGUGAAAUGCGUAGAGAUGUGGAGGAAUACCGGUGGCGAAGGGCGGCCCCUGGGACAAAGACUGACGCUCAUGUGCGAAAGCGUGGGGAGCAAACAGGGAUUAGAUACC
rnacentral:rRNA from 1 species